UACGUAGGGUGCGAGCGUUGUCCGGAAUUAUUGGGCGUAAAGGGCUCGUAGGCGGUCUGUUGCGUCGGGAGUGAAAACUCAGGGCUUAACCCUGAGCCUGCUUCCGAUACGGGCAGACUAGAGGUAUGCAGGGGAGAACGGAAUUCCUGGUGUAGCGGUGAAAUGCGCAGAUAUCAGGAGGAACACCGGUGGCGAAGGCGGUUCUCUGGGCAGGACCUGACGCUGAGGAGCGAAAGUGUGGGGAGCGAACAGG
rnacentral:rRNA from 1 species